rnacentral:rRNA from 1 species
UACAGAGGUCCCAAGCGUUGUUCGGAUUCAUUGGGCGUAAAGGGUGCGUAGGCGGCGCGGUAAGUCGGGUGUGAAAUCUCGGAGCUUAACUCCGAAACUGCAUUCGAUACUGCGGUGCUUGAGGACUGGAGAGGAGACUGGAAUUCAUGGUGUAGCAGUGAAAUGCGUAGAGAUCAUGAGGAAGAUCAGUGGCGAAGGCGGGUCUCUGGACAGUUCCUGACACUGAGACACGAAGGCCAGGGGAGCAAACGGG